rnacentral:rRNA from 1 species
GGCAUGCCUACCAUGCAAGUCGAACGAAGCCUUCGGGCUUAGUGGCGCACGGGUGCGUAACACGUGGGAAUCUGCCCUUGGGUUCGGAAUAACAGUUAGAAAUGACUGCUAAUACCGGAUAAUGACGUAAGUCCAAAGAUUUAUCGCCCAAGGAUGAGCCCGCGUCGGAUUAGCUAGUUGGUGAGGUAAAGGCUCACCAAGGCGACGAUCCGUAGCUGGUCUGAGAGGAUGAUCAGCCACACUGGGACUGAGACACGGCCCAGACUCCUACGGGAGGCAGCAGUGGGGAAUAUUGGACAAUGGGCGAAAGCCUGAUCCAGCAAUGCCGCGUGAGUGAUGAAGGCCUUAGGGUUGUAAAGCUCUUUUACCCGGGAUGAUAAUGACAGUACCGGGAGAAUAAGCCCCGGCUAACUCCGUGCCAGCAGCCGCGGUAAU